rnacentral:lncRNA from 12 species
AUAAUAGCUUUAUUCUUGGCUUCACAUCCCAUCUGUCCUUGUUUUAUUUCUUUUGUCUUACUUUUUUUUCUUACUAACCUUGUCGUACUUUACAUUCCAUACUAAGCCUCUGGAACCUAUUCCUUAACAAGCCAUUCCACAGUGAAUGGAGACAUACCAAGACAUGAAGAAAGGGACUCCAGGGAAUAUGUGAAGACCGUGAUGACAUGGGGAGAGGUGCCUUUCUCUCUGAUUGGACCAAGUGAGGGUGAAGAUGAGACUUCCAAGGUAAAUAGCUGGACUUGAUACAGGCUCAGGCCAAAGGAUGAAGAUGUACAGGAAGUUCACUUCAUAGAGAAUUAAAUUUGGAAAUGACUUUAAAGAGCAUUCUAAUAUGCCCUGUCCUUU